AACUAGAGAUCAAGAAGCUACAAGAAGAUCUCAAGGUCCAGCAGAAUCAGUUCGUGUUCCAUCUAGAGCACCUGAAACUAGUAUUAUCGGACAUCAAGUGUCAUCCUUCCAG
ensembl:ncRNA W01F3.5 ncRNA